rnacentral:rRNA from 1 species
AUGAACGCUGGCGGCGUGCCUAAUACAUGCCAGUCGAGCGAACAGACGAGGAGCUUGCUCCUCUGACGUUAGCGGCGGACGGGUGAGUAACACGUGGAUAACCUACCUAUAAGACUGGGAUAACUUCGGGAAACCGGAGCUAAUACCGGAUAAUAUAUUGAACCGCAUGGUUCAAUAGUGAAAGACGGUUCUGCUGUCACUUAUAGAUGGAUCCGCGCCGCAUUAGCUAGUUGGUAAGGUAACGGCUUACCAAGGCAACGAUGCGUAGCCGACCUGAGAGGGUGAUCGGCCACACUGGAACUGAGACACGGUCCAGACUCCUACGGGAGGCAGCAGUAGGGAAUCUUCCGCAAUGGGCGAAAGCCUGACGGAGCAACGCCGCGUGAGUGAUGAAGGUCUUCGGAUCGUAAAACUCUGUUAUUAGGGAAGAACAAAUGUGUAAGUAACUAUGCACGUCUUGACGGUACCUAAUCAGAAAGCCACGGCUAACUACGUG